UGGAAAUCAAGACCUUCUGAAAUCCAGAGAGCAGUCUGAAAUGUAAUCCUGUCAAGGAAGUUAAGCAGGUCUAGGUUUGGGCAGUACCUGGAUGGGGGACCUGCCUGGUAAUGGUAUCAUUGCGUAAAUCACUGUCACCUUCUGGGAGGAAAUGGCACUCAUUCUCUAAAUGCCUGCCUACAGGCUGUAAUGGGCUGGAUGAGGGAGAACAAAUGGAAGCUGAAUCCAAGCAAGACGGAGCUGCUCAUUGUGGGGGCUCAGAAUCUGAGGGGGAUCCAGAAAGCUUGUUUUCUUCAGGAUUACAGGACGGAAUACUGAAUAUGCAGACAUUCAGAAUGAAAGAGAUGAGGCAUUUUCAUUUUUGAUUUUCCACUUUCCCCACAUGGGUCAAAAUGUUUGUGACAUAGGACAGGUAGCUGAGCUGCUCCUGGCUGGGUUAGUGUAUAACUCCAAGAUAUGACUCUUGGCUUCCAUCCCCUGUGAGGACCAUUUUGCACAAGGCACAUUUCUUCAACCGAUAUCUGUGGAAACAAUCAGAAUUUACAGGAUCAGUUAAUGGCAUCAAAGGAAGUGGCAGCAGGAGAUUUGUUUAAAAUCCAUCUUGCAAAACUGCACAGGUUGGAUCAUGAUAAGCUCAGCUUGGUUUGUUUGUUGUGCUUUAAACGUGUGUGUGUGUGUGUGUGUGUGUGU